rnacentral:rRNA from 1 species
GAUGAACGCUGGCGGCGUGCUUAACACAUGCAAGUCGAACGGAGUGCCUUUGAAAGAGGAUUCGUCCAAUUGAUAAGGUUACUUAGUGGCGGACGGGUGAGUAACGCGUGAGGAACCUGCCUUGGAGUGGGGAAUAACACAGUGAAAAUUGUGCUAAUACCGCAUAAUGCAGUUGGGCCGCAUGGCACAGCGGGAAAAGGAUUUAUUCGCUUCAGGAUGGACUCGCGUCCAAUUAGCUAGUUGGUGAGGUAACGGCCCACCAAGGCGACGAUUGGUAGCCGGACUGAGAGGUUGAACGGCCACAUUGGGACUGAGACACGGCCCAGACUCCUACGGGAGGCAGGCAGUGGGGGAUAUUGCACAAUGGGGGAAACCCUGAUGCAGCGACGCCGCGUGGAGGAAGAAGGGUUUUCGGAUUGUAAACUCCUGUCGUUAGGGACGAUAAUGACGGUACCUAACAAGAAAGCAACC